rnacentral:RNase_P_RNA from 1 species
AUGCCGGACCGGAUGAUCGCCGUCUUCGCAAGAAGAGGGAGGAAAGUCCGAACUCCACAGAGCAGUGUGCCGGAUAACGUCCGGGAUGGCGGGUUCAAGCCCGUCAGACGGAAAGCGCAACAGAGAACAUACCGCCUCGGCCGCAAGGCCGGGGUAAGGGUGAAAAGGUGCGGUAAGAGCGCACCGCUCGCGCAGUAAUGCGCGGGGCAUGGCAAACCCCACACGGAGCAAGACCAAAUAGGGAGGGAAUGGCGGCAACGCCAUGCGUGCCUGCUCGGCGCGCCCAACCUCCGGGUAGGUCGCUUGAGCCGUCCAGUAAUGAACGGCCUAGAGGAAUGAUCAUCGCGGCGGCAACGCCGUACAAAAUUCGGCUUACAGGUCCGGCAGCAGA